rnacentral:rRNA from 1 species
UGAGACAGGUGCUGCAUGGCUGUCGUCAGCUCGUGUUGUGAAAUGUUGGGUUAAGUCCCGCAACGAGCGCAACCCUUAUCCUUUGUUGCCAGCGAUUCGGUCGGGAACUCAAAGGAGACUGCCGGUGAUAAACCGGAGGAAGGUGGGGAUGACGUCAAGUCAUCAUGGCCCUUACGAGUAGGGCUACACACGUGCUACAAUGGCGUAUACAAAGAGAAGCGACCUCGCGAGAGUAAGCGGACCUCAUAAAGUACGUCGUAGUCCGGAUUGGAGUCUGCAACUCGACUCCAUGAAGUCGGAAUCGCUAGUAAUCGUAGAUCAGAAUGCUACGGUGAAUACGUUCCCGGGCCUUGUACACACCGCCCGUCACACCAUGGGAGUGGGUUGCAAAAGAAGUAGGUAGCUUAACCUUCGGGAGGGCGCUUACCACUUUGUGAUUCAUGACUGGGGUGAAGUCGUAACAAGGUAACCGUAGGGGAACCUGCGGUUGGAUCACCUCCUUACCAAAAAGA